GGUACCGUCAAUUUCGUCCCUGUCGAAAGCGAUUUACGACCCUAAGGCCUUCCUCUCGCACGCGGCGUUGCUGCGUCAGGCUUUCGCCCAUUGCGCAAGAUUCCCCACUGCUGCCUCCCGUAGGAGUA
rnacentral:rRNA from 1 species